rnacentral:hammerhead_ribozyme from 1 species
GUCUAACUGACGAGUCUCAAAUAGGACGAAACAUGCGUUUUAAAU